AGUAGUUUGACUCCGUGGCUCGAGACACGCUGGCGGCGUGCUUAACACAUGCAAGUCGAACGGAGUACCCUCGAAAGAGAUUUCGGUCAAUGGAGAGGACUACUUAGUGGCGGACGGGUGAGUAACGCGUGAGGAACCUGCCUUUCAGAGGGGGACAACAGUUGGAAACGACUGCUAAUACCGCAUAACGUACGGGUAUCGCAUGGUACUGGUACCAAAGAUUUAUCGCUGAGAGAUGGCCUCGCGUCUGAUUAGCUAGUUGGUAGGGUAACGGCCUACCAAGGCGACGAUCAGUAGCCGGACUGAGAGGUUGGCCGGCCACAUUGGGACUGAGAUACGGCCCAGACUCCUACGGGAGGCAGCAGUGGGAAUAUUGGGCAAUGGGCGCAAGCCUGACCCAGCAACGCCGCGUGAAGGAAGAAGGCUUUCGGGUUGUAAACUUCUUUUGACAGGGAAGAGCAGAAGACGGUACCUGUCGAAUAAGCCACGGCUAACUACGUG
rnacentral:rRNA from 1 species